GUUAUGGUGGCCUAGUGGUUAGUGCGUCAGCCUCGGAUGCGGUAGGUCGCGCGUUUGAAUCCCGGCCGUGUCA